GGGCGCUUAGCGCAGGGGUAGCGCGUUCGCUUCGCAUGAGCCACACGUUGGUGCGAAAGGUCGUUGGUUCAAAUCCUACAGUGUCCA